GAUAAACGCUGGCGGCGUGCCUAAUACAUGCAAGUCGAGCGAACGGACGAGAAGCUUGCUUCUCUGAUGUUAGCGGCGGACGGGUGAGUAACACGUGGAUAACCUACCUAUAAGACUGGGAUAACUUCGGGAAACCGGAGCUAAUACCGGAUAAUAUUUUGAACCGCAUGGUUCAAAAGUGAAAGACGGUCUUGCUGUCACUUAUAGAUGGAUCCGCGCUGCAUUAGCUAGUUGGUAAGGUAACGGCUUACCAAGGCAACGAUGCAUAGCCGACCUGAGAGGGUGAUCGGCCACACUGGAACUGAGACACGGUCCAGACUCCUACGGGAGGCAGCAGUAGGGAAUCUUCCGCAAUGGGCGAAAGCCUGACGGAGCAACGCCGCGUGAGUGAUGAAGGUCUUCGGAUCGUAAAACUCUGUUAUUAGGGAAGAACAUAUGUGUAAGUAACUGUGCACAUCUUGACGGUACCUAAUCAGAAAGCCACGGCUAACUACGUGCCAGCAGCCGCGGUAAUACGUAGGUGGCAAGCGUUAUCCGGAAUUAUUGGGCGUAAAGCGCGCGUAGGCGGUUUUUUAAGUCUGAUGUGAAAGCCCACGGCUCAACCGUGGAGGGUCAUUGGAAACUGGAAAACUUGAGUGCAGAAGAGGAAAGUGGAAUUCCAUGUGUAGCGGUGAAAUGCGCAGAGAUAUGGAGGAACACCAGUGGCGAAGGCGACUUUCUGGUCUGUAACUGACGCUGAUGUGCGAAAGCGUGGGGAUCAAACAGGAUUAGAUACCCUGGUAGUCCACGCCGUAAACGAUGAGUGCUAAGUGUUAGGGGGUUUCCGCCCCUUAGUGCUGCAGCUAACGCAUUAAGCACUCCGCCUGGGGAGUACGACCGCAAGGUUGAAACUCAAAGGAAUUGACGGGGACCCGCACAAGCGGUGGAGCAUGUGGUUUAAUUCGAAGCAACGCGAAGAACCUUACCAAAUCUUGACAUCCUUUGACAACUCUAGAGAUAGAGCCUUCCCCUUCGGGGGACAAAGUGACAGGUGGUGCAUGGUUGUCGUCAGCUCGUGUCGUGAGAUGUUGGGUUAAGUCCCGCAACGAGCGCAACCCUUAAGCUUAGUUGCCAUCAUUAAGUUGGGCACUCUAAGUUGACUGCCGGUGACAAACUGGAGGAAGGUGGGGAUGACGUCAAAUCAUCAUGCCCCUUAUGAUUUGGGCUACACACGUGCUACAAUGGACAAUACAAAGGGCAGCGAAACCGCGAGGUCAAGCAAAUCCCAUAAAGUUGUUCUCAGUUCGGAUUGUAGUCUGCAACUCGACUACAUGAAGCUGGAAUCGCUAGUAAUCGUAGAUCAGCAUGCUACGGUGAAUACGUUCCCGGGUCU
rnacentral:rRNA from 1 species